GGAAAAGCAUGAUAAACAUUACCUCAACACAAAAAAUGAUUCCCGGAUGCUCUGACAGUGGAUGCUAACAAUAUCCUAGGGUUUUACUUUGUGACAUCAUUGCUUCUCGAGAACCAACUGACCACGAACAGCAACAAGGUCUUCAAUCAGAAUUAAAACUCAAUUCAAAACACUUUCGAAGAGCAUUUGGAGAUACAUAUUAAGAGACUGCAGUGUCUAAACUUUUAGAAGUAAAAAUGCCAUUUCUAGUCCUAUGUCCUACAAAUUCCAUUUCUAGGUAUAUACCCAAGAAAAAUGAAAAUGUAUGUCCACAUAGAAACUUCUGCAAAAAUGUUUCUACUAGCAUUAUUCAUAAUAGUAAUGUGUGGAAACAACCCAAAUGUCCAUCAACAGACAAAUGGAUAAACAAAAUGUAGUAUAUAUCCCUACAGUGAAAUAUUAUUUGCCUAUAAAAGGGAAUGAAGUAUUGAAGGCUACAAUGUGGAUGAGCCUUGGAAACAUUAUACUAAGUGAAAGAAGUUAGUUACAUAAGACCACAUAUUACAUGAUUCUAUUAAUAUAAAACAUCCACAACAGGGAAAUCUAUGGAGACAGAAUGCAGACUAUUGGUAGGGGUGGUGGGAAGGGGAGAAAAGGGUAGGGAAGUGAUAGCUAAAGAGUACUGGGUUUCUUUUGGAGAUAAUAAAAAUGUUUCAAAAUUGACUUUGGUGAUGGUUUCAUGUAUCUGUGAAUACACAAAAAACACAUAUAAUUAUACUGUAAAAAUGGGUGAAUUAUGUGGUGAGUGAAUAAUACUCAACAAAUCUCUUCAAAAAUAAUUAUAUUUAUGGGAAAUCAAAGUUGAGAAAAUGAUCCAAAAUAAACCAGAAAACUCCUUUCG
rnacentral:lncRNA from 10 species